CGGGUUGAAAUUUUGCAGGGUUGUUGAAAUCAAAUUUAGGGACUUUACUGACGGGACUCUGGGCUGGCUGCUCUGUUCACUCGUCAGCGCAAGUGGCGUGACCAUGUAAUUGGGGCACGGGGCCGGCGCGGCGCGCUGCGGGCUUGCAGAAUUUUGUUUGUUUGUUUGGCCGCGCGCUGGCGCAGCCACGGGCCGCAGUUACUGGGGCGCGCUGUCGUAACAAGCCGCGCGGUGUGGCCUGCACAUUGGGGUAGAGGGGGGGUAGUCUUCCCAGAUGUUCUAGUUAGUUGUUUAGUAAAUUUGACUUCAAUAACGAGCUUUUGUUAUGGUAGGCGCGGCAGGGCGCGCGAAUUUAAGCGCAAGUGAGUGGUGACUCGGGGCUCACUCAGGCGGAGGCUAUGCGUCUCACCUGUGGUCACGAGUUGUUAGUUCGUUCGUGAUGUAGGAAUUCAGGCUUUCGGGCGGAAGCUAUGGUCGACGCCAGAGGCCACGAGUCGUUUAAUUUAAGUUAGGUCAUAAUGUAGUCGUCAAGCUUUCGGGCGGAGGCUAUGGCCCUCGUCAGGGGUCACGCGUCAUAGUUUUUAAAAUGUAAUGUUCGUUCGGGAUUUCAAGGGCAGGAGAGGCCCCUACGUUAUUUUUUUAAAGUAAUCGAUCAAGAAAGGCUUUUCGGAAAAUGUGAGUAUGGACUUAUCUUUGUUUUAAUUUUAAGUAUUAAUUAUGAUUUGAGGUAUUCGGAAGGACUAGGGAAGUGUUUAGUGAAGUUCUCUCAUUCUCUCUCUUGUAAGGUCGUUCAAUCGUUAAGGAAGUAAAGAGAUUAUUGUUUUAAAUUGUAAUCCCGCUAUUUAAAUGUUCUUUAAAAUGAUGUUGAGUAUUUGACUUUAAGAAUAAAAUAAUUUUAAUUAAGUAUUAUGUUAUUUUGCAAAAUCUCCUUAGUUCAGCUCUCACCAGACAUCCUGUACGGGAUGACGAACCUAUGAUCCUAGGUACAGUAAAGUAUUUUAUGAAGUUAAGACUAGUUGAUGCCAAGCGAGUUGUUUCUAUGUAAAGAGCUACGAUUCUCGCCCCCCCCCCCCCCUCUGAAGGUGGAUCGUGACAGAAAUGGUAGAGUUCGCCGGAUAGGUUCUAUUUCUGGAGAGAGAGAGGUAGAUUUUUAUGUUUAUUAUUAAGUUAGUUUCAGCUUCUGAUAGCAGGUUAUUAAGAGUUUACUUGAGGAGAGGAUUACGGAAUUUUAGUCUAUAGUGGAGGAAGUCUUUGAGAUUUUUUUUUUGACGUAACAGAUGUUUAUUUGAGUAUACUUGUAAGGAUAAAGUUUAUAGUGAUAAGUUGUUUUAAGUCGUUGAGUUUAUCAGGGAUUUUUACGUGAGGAGAAUACGUUAUAAUUUAAAUGAUUAAUAGAGAUAAUGCAAGUGGUUUAAUUUAAUUGAAAUUAAUUUUAAGAUUGUAGGUUAAGAGAGUUAAAAUUUAAAAUAAAGUUUUUUUCGUAAAUAGGAAUUAUUUUCAAGUGAAGUUUGUUUUGCUGUCGUGCGCGUAGGAGACGAGACGUACGAAUUAAAUCAGUCGAGGGAAGGAUAAACGUUAGAAAGGAAUUAAAGAGAAAACGAGAGUUUAUGUAAAAGAGAGUUAUAGAAUUUAUAGUGAUGUUUUGUUUUAAUUAGAAAAAUGUUGAGAGUUGUUUCAGAACGACACGUCAGUGGACGUGGCAGAAUGAACACGUGACGGGGAGGUGCUGAGACCUAGCGGAGAACGGAGGAACCGCAAGCGAGGGUUGGCGCACCUGAUGGAAUUCGGUGACGUCACGAGCACGUACAGAGACGUGGACGGCCGUGACCUUGUUUUGAUCAGCUGUACGGUAACUUAGCGAUAAGAAAAUAGACUAUUGGUUAAAUAAAUUUAAAUUUAAGUGUGUUUUAGAAGAAGAGGAACUUUCAGUAUAUUCCUUAAGAUGAGCUGAGCAGCAGUCCAGUUUACAAGAUGACAAGAGUUCGAGAGACAAGAUACAAGAUCACUGAAACAAGAGCCAAGACUGAAGAUUCAAGAGAAGAGAAAGCUGGCAGCCAUGGACUUACAAGUGGAGAUUAAUAAGGUCAUGUAAAGUUUUAUUUUUUUUUAUGGAAGACAGUAACUGGAGUUUUUUUUUGUUAUAAACAUUAUUUACAGAACUUUUUAGGUUAUAGUAAUGUAAUGGAACUAGUGAGUUGUGGUAGCUGUCAAAAAGAACUAAUACCUUAAGUUUAAUUUUUAAAGUUAAUUUUCUUAAUUUACAGAGGGAUUAGUAGUUUUUUUUAAAACCUUAUUUAGGUUGGAAUUUAAAUACAAUAGCUUAUUAUAAAUGUGUACGAACAGUUCAAGUUCACAGUACUGAUAGGUAGGUCAGAUGAUCUUAUUGAUUUUGAUGAUUUGUUGUUUUGAGUUGAUUUUUAAGUGUUGUGAAUUAGACAAUGAAAUAGUUCUGAAAACUUAAAUUAUUUCAAGCUAAGAAAUAGUAAAGUUAAUUGUAACUCAAAGGACACCAGAAUUUAAUUUUUUUUUGAAUUAGUAAUGUUUGAAAAUUUUAUACUUUACAAGAAAGGUUAUAAACAAACAGAUCGGAUGGAACAAGGAUGCAGUAAAUCACAAUUUCAUUUAGAAUUAUUGAUUAGCUUUUGAGGUUAUGAAGUAAAAGUAAUUAUAGUUUAAAAGUUUGAAUAAAAAAAAAUGUUUUUUUUUAUUUGUUUCAAAUAGAAAGUUUAAAAGUUAAUUAGUCAUGAUCUAGGUGGGUGAUGGGGUGGGAAUUGGCCACUCUUUUUCCCUAUAACCUCCCUAACAUGGCCUUCUAUUACAACUAACAGAAAUAAAGAAGAAGAAAAA